UAUAACUGAAAUUCCCAACCUCUUUCUUCUUUCACUUCCAUUAACCUAGCUCUCAAUUCUAUACCUAACAAUACUCUUGUUGGUGCUCUGAUCGAUCGUUUGAGAAGUAGGUAGGUUUGUGCAAAGUGAUCUCUGAUAGCUUUUUAGGGUUUUCUUUUGGACGCAAGAGGAAUAUGAAGCCAUACUAUACAUUGAAGAUGAA
rnacentral:misc_RNA from 1 species